ACACUGCCUUUCUUUUCUGCAGUCACAGUGACCUGUUAGUUUCUACACAGCCCAAGCUUUUCAGGGCACUGUUUCCGGUGAGGAGACAUGCUUGCCACAGCGAAAGCAUGGGGGUCAGAGGGCAACUUCCAGGGCUCUGCUCUCUGAUCUUGCAGCUCCACCCUCGGAGCCAACUCCGUGGCCGAUAUUCCAAGCUUCAACCUGCUUCAGAGCCGCCUGUCAGGGAUUCUCUGCCCUCACCUUCCAUGUGGUCUUACGUAGGUUGUGUGCAUCCCACAUGUAGCUUUGAAGAUGCAUGCGGCCAGCCACAAACCCCCAAAGCCCUUGCUGCCCUCUGUCCUCCCUGGAAGGUGAUCCACCACUUGGAACAACCCAUGCCGGCCUCUUCCAGCUGCGGUUCUCACCACUGAGCUGUCGGUAACCCCCAAGUCCAUUUAGAGCAUUGAUUGUGACUGAUUCCAUGCCUUAAUUAAACAUGGAAAUGCGUCAUGAACUAUCAGAUCAGAAUGAACGUUUCCUGGGACCAAACUGAUUUCUUUGGACAGGAUAGAACAUGUUUUUAAGAAACUUCAAAAACCUCAAUGGCAUCAUAUAACUUCAGAAAUUUGGAUGAUGUUUCUUUAAAACUAGCAAUUUGUGAAUUUUAAAUCUCUUAUCAAAUGCC